rnacentral:piRNA from 1 species
ACCUCUCUGGAUGCAUAGAGCAGC